CUGCCACUAGCACUCCCUGAUAGGGAAUAUUUUGUUGAUUGAACCGUAAAAGAAUAUAUACAAAAUAUAACUGCACAUGAAAGACAGGCAAGGUCAAUGAAAUUAGAUAUGACACUAGAACUGUUCAAGGCAUGGAAAGACUUGCACAGCUUUUGCCAAGUCAUCAUGAAGAUGAGAAACUCAUGAACGCAUCACAAAGAAUGG
rnacentral:misc_RNA from 1 species